CAAGUCAACAGGAAAUCUGGUGGACCCACUAUUUUCUUUCGUCCUGAAAUUAUAGCUUUCCGUGUGUGAGUUCCAUGUUUCCCUAUUCCUGUAUGCUGUAGAUUCAGUUGUAUGGAGAUUUUUUCUGCUGCUUAUAUUUAGCAUUGAAUGGUUGACAGCUGCAUCAGAAGGUAGCAAACCGUUUAUAUUUGUCAGGAUCCCAUUUUCAAUCUUCCUCUUCUUUUGAGUAUCUGCACAAAUUGCAUUAGACUUGAUGCAGCUGUAUAAUUGAUAAUCUGGUGGAUUUGCAGUGCAGUGGCUUGUCUGCUCAAAAUGACCAAAUUCUUUCUUGUAUCCCCUACCAUCGAUUAAAUGUUGUGAAAUCUCCGCAACUGAUUGAGUAUUCUGUGGCAUCAUUUGUCUGGUUCUCUCCAGGUUUUUGCAAAUAAUGUUUGCU
rnacentral:lncRNA from 1 species